rnacentral:lncRNA from 1 species
CUACCUGCUAUGUGUAUUUGUGUCCAGAUGGCCAAAAUGCCAAGCAAAUCCUUAAAGCACAGGUGGUGUUGAGAUGCUGAUUAUGCAUGGGAGAUUGUGGGUGAGCACCCACCUUCCACAGCAGGUAGGCUCUCUAAGUGAACCCUGGCAACCCAUAGAGUCAUUGCUAUCCAUGUGUGGGUGGUGAUAGAUGAUGCUGAAUUAGGGGAUCCUUGGGUAAGGAACAAGGCAACUGAGUGAAGAGACACUUUCCUUCCCUGAUCUGAGAUAAUGUUUCUCAAGGUGUGGUCUAUGGACCACCUGAAUUGUUAUAAUCUGGGUGCCUAUUAAAAUUGCUAGGUGAGUCCGGUCCUAUUUCUGACUUAAUCAAUUUUUACAGAUACAGUUCAGGAGUCUGCAUUUCUUAGAAAGAUCAUUUUUUUGUUUGUUUGUUUGUUUGUUUUUUUGAGACAGGGUCUCACUCUGUCACCCAGGUUGGAGUGCAGUGUUGUGAUCUUGGCUCAAUGCAGCCUGGACCUCCCGGGCUCAAGUGAUUCUCCUGCCUCAGCCCCUGGAGUAGCUGGGACUACAGGCACAUGCCCCGACGCUUGGCUAAUUUUUAAAUUUUUGUAGAGAGGGGGUUUCAUCAUGUUGUCCAUGCUGGUCUCAAACUCUUGGACUCAAGCGAUCUACCCACCUCGGCCUCCCAAAGUGCUGGGAUUACAAGCGUGAGCCACCGUGUACGGCCAAGAUACACUUUUUUUUUUUUUUUUUUUGAGACGGAGUCUCGCACUGUCACCUGGACUGGAGUGCCGUGGUGCCAUCUCCACUCACUGCAACCUCUGCCUCUCAGGUUCAAGUGAUUCUCCUGCCUCAGCCUCCGGAGUAACUGGGAUUACAGGCGACUGCCACCACACCCAGCUAAUUUUUUUGUUUUUGUUUUUUGUUCGUCUGUUUUGUUUGUUUUGUUUUGUUUUGAGACGGAGUUUUGCUCUUGUUGCCCAGGUUGGAGCGCAAUGGCACAAUCUCGGCUCACCGCAACCUCUGCCUCCCGGGUUCAAGCAAUUCUCCUGCCUCAGCCUCCCGAGUAGCUGGGAUUACAGGCAUGCGCCACCAUGCCCAGCUAAUAUUUUUGUAUCUUUAGUAGAGACAGGGUUUCUCCAUGUUGGUCAGGCUGGUCUCAAACUCCUGCCCUCAGGUGAUCCGCCCGCCUCAGCCUCCCAAAGUGCUGAGAUUACAGGUGUGA